rnacentral:rRNA from 1 species
UACGUAGGGAGCAAGCGUUGUUCGGAUUUACUGGGCGUAAAGGGCGCGUAGGCGGCGCGGUAAGUCACUUGUGAAAUCUCUGAGCUUAACUCAGAACGGCCAAGUGAUACUGCAGUGCUAGAGUGCAGAAGGGGCAAUCGGAAUUCUUGGUGUAGCGGUGAAAUGCGUAGAUAUCAAGAGGAAUACCUGAGGUGAAGACGGGUUGCUAGGCCGACACUGACGCUGAAGCGCGAAAGCCAGGGGAGCAAACGGG